rnacentral:misc_RNA from 1 species
UCCGGUUUAUCACCGGCAGUCCCCUUAGAGUUCCCGGCAUUAUCCGCUGGCAACUAAGGGCGAGGGUUGCGCUCGUUACGGGACUUAACCCAACAUCUCACGACACGAGCUGACGACAGCCAUGCAGCACCUGUCUCUCGGUUCCCGAAGGCACCCCUCCAUCUCUGGAGGAUUCCGAGGAUGUCAAGAGUAGGUAAGGUUUUUCGGGUUGCAUCGAAUUGAACCACAUGCUCCACCGCUUGUGCGAGCCCCCGUCAAUUCCUUUGAGUUUUAGCCUUGCGGCCGUACUUCCCAGGCGGAGAACUUAACGCGUUAGCUUCGGCACUAGAAGGACAAAGCCUUCCAACGCCUAGUUCUCAUCGUUUACGGCGUGGACUAC